AGGAGGGAGGGCGAUCGGACUGGCCUUAGACCAAAUGCAACAUUAGCAGCAAUGGACUGUCGUCGCCGCCCCAACACCCUGAGCUCCUCAUGUGUCCAGUUAGUGUUGGUACCCAGCACCGAGGCAGCAACUACAAUUAGUACCUGUCAGAUUUUGCUGGUGGUAGCCCUUUUUAAGCCGGUCCGACAAAAACUGUCAAAAUACCCUUCCAGCACACACACAUACCUGCUGUUUUGGGUUGGACUGAGCAUCAGAAGCCAAUACUUCCCCAGGUUAGCUACUGGAGCACACAGUUGCUUCUGUGUGCCAGACAAGUAAUUUGCAGAAUUUUCUGGAGGCAGCAUUGGUGGAAUCUUUCAAGACGUUGGGAGUGGCGUUUAUAAAUGGUCCAUGUUUCACAGGCAUACAGUAAGAGAGAUGGCUGCUGAGAUAGGGAAAGUGAUCAACGUUCUCCAACGUCACACCAUUAAGCUGGAUUGAUGGUGCUACAGAGGGACUAGUUCGCACCUGUUGAUGAAGCACUUUGUUUUUUUUAAUAUUAAGUGAGAGCCCAAGCUUUCCAUAUGCUUCUGCGAAGACAUUUAGGAUAGUUUGAAGAUCUUUCUCUGAAUGUGCAGAGACUACAUUAUCAUCAGCAUAUUGAAGUUCUACGACAGAGGUUACGACAGAGCUGUGGCUAAUGGAAACACUUUGAUCUGGUGACUAGCGAGUUUACAGCCUUACAGUUGGUCUUGCUCCCAACAAACCAUGAACUGUAACCAAGGUUGUUCUUGGUUUACUUGUUAAAGUGGGGGGAGACAAACAAUGAGCCCGCGUCCACUUGUAAUGCUAAGGGAAACCAUGGCUUAGCCUCUUAUACCAGGCUCACUAUAUUCUCUGAUCCAGUUUUUUUUUUUUUUAAGGAUAUUGUUCACUUUUAUUUGACAGGCAAUUUCAGAUUCCUUUUUUAAUUAUGCAGUCAACUGACUGGUUAGGGUCAAAUUGACACACAGCAUUCAGUUUCCCCCUCUCCCAUUGGCUUCUUGGCCUUCACUGGCCCAUUAGGGUUGCCAUUCACAGUGCUCCAGGGACAGAAAUCACAACUGGCAGAAUUGUCUUCAGUCUGUAGACCAGCUUUGCCCAACCUGGUGCCCUUCCAAUGUUGCUGGACUACAACCAUCAUUAUCCCUGAACAUUGGCCAUGUUAGGUGAGGUGAUGGGAGUUGUAGUCCAACAAAAUCUGGAGGGAACCAGAUGUUGGGCAAGGCUGCUCUAGACUGAGCAAUUACAUGUCCCCUUGGCUGCCCAGUUACUUCUUGUCAAUAGCACAGCUGCUGUUAUUUCUAGGCCUUUUGUGAAUUUUUAUUCCAGCCCUACUUUUUCCUUGAUUCAUCCUUUCUUCGGCACCACCACCCAUUGUAUCCUCUGGUUUUCAGCUUUUCCAGCUACAGCCUCCUAUCUCCCACUUCCUUUACCACCACCACCUCAUGUCUUGACCACCACACCUAGCGCUCCUAUCUCAAAAAGAGUGAUAGAGUUGGGAAAAUGUUACAGCAUUGCAAUCGCAAUGAUUCAUCAAUUAUAAAAAACAAUCCAUGCAUUAGUAACAUAUUUAAUGCAUGGAAAAAUAUAAAAACAAAUCAAGCCCUGGUCUUUCACCCCUAACAGCUCUCUACUAUAAUAAAGAAUCAAUUUAAGAAAAAAAGCCACAUUAGAAAGCAUGCAGUUAUGGGAACAAUAUGAAAUAAUAGAAAUUAGACAAUUACUGAAUAAUAAUAUCGUUAAAACCUAUUAUGAAAUUAAAAGUGAAAUGAAAUAUAGGCAAGUACAAGCCUAAAGGAAUAUCAAAUCAGACAUAUUAAUAAACUAUUAAGAAAAUACA